rnacentral:ncRNA from 1 species
UACCUGGUUGAUCCUGCCAGUAGUCAUAUGCUUGUCUCAAAGAUUAAGCCAUGCAAGUCUAAGUACGAGCUCUCGUACAGUGAAACUGCGAAUGGCUCAUUAAAUCAGUUAUGGUUCAUUUGAUCGUACAGUUUACUUGGAUAACUGUGGUAAUUCUAGAGCUAAUACAUGCGAGAAGCGCCGACCUCGCGGGAGGCGUGCAUUUAUCAGACCAAAAACCGGCCGCGUCUUCGGGCGCGUUCGCCUUGGUGACUCUGGAUAACUUUGCGGAUCGCACGGUCUAGCACCGGCGACGGAUCAUUCAAGUGUCUGCCCUAUCAAGUUUCGUCGGUACGGUAUUUGCCUACGGAGGUUG